rnacentral:lncRNA from 1 species
CAUCUCUUCUGCAACCCUUGUGUGCAUAAAGUCACCGAAAAUCGUCACCGCAAGUGUCCGGUUUGUGCUGCAAGCUUUGGUGCCAAUGAUGUUAAACCUGUUUAUAUCUGAUUUAGGAGCUCUCAUCAGAACUGGUUAUCCAUGAGAUUCGAUGCACAUCUCACAUGCUUGCACUGUCAACACAGAUAUGAACACUCACAGGUUCCAUGUAUUGUUGUUUUAGAGUUGUUAGAAAAGAAUCUAGACUGGAACUAGAGGUUUCCUAUCCGUUUGGUCAGUGCAGAUCCUCUCAACAUUUGCUUGUUUGGUUCCAAGUUGAUUGGACUUAAUUCUACAGUAUUUUAUGAUGUUUGCCUCUUCAUUUAACUGCCUGGAACCACUGGAAUCUUUCAAGUUACUGUUUGCAGAUUAUUCAGAAUUGAUCAAUUUCUGUAUUCUGCUGAAACCUUUUGGAGCAGUACUCAAAAGUUUUUGGGCUGCACAGAUUUUAGUAGAACAUUUUAGUAUUAUUUGUUUUCUUUUUCAUUUUUUCUUUAUAUAUAUAUUAAUGGUAGUUUAUGACAGUUACAUGUUGAAGGAAAAUAGUCUUCUAUUUCUUUUAUUUAUUGUGGAGGAAGUAGCCAUUAUAAGGCCUUCCUUUGGAAAUUAACGAGUCUGAUUUUGCUUGUGUUCCUCUAGGUAGGGGACUAAUGAGAAUGAUUGAAUCAUGAGACUUACUGUUGUAUCCGUAUCAUGUUUAUAUAUAUAUAUUGCUGUGCCGUAAUUGUAUUCAAAAUAUUCUAUAUUUAUAUAAAUUUUGAUAUGUUGGCAAUUCAGAUAUUGAGACGUUAGUGCAUUCAUGUUGUUAAUGUCUUUACUUUGUAGCAAUUUAUGUUCUGCUUCUACAGAAUGGAAGAAUCGAUUAUGGUGAAUUUGUUGCCAUGGUACUAAUUUUCAGUUUGUUGGCAGAUUGUACAGCAGAUCCAGAAUAUGAUGACUCAUGAGAAAAGCGAUCGGGAAACGGUUUUGGUUCGUCGCAUGCUCCAGGACGGGUUACUUGAUGUUGUUUGUUUGAAGCAUUAGAGAGAUGCUGUUGGUUUAUGGAAUGCCAUAGGUUUUGUAAAACUUUGAGGAGUGUGGAAGUGUUAAAGUUAUUCAAAAUUAACAAGCUCACUAUAAAGCAGCAAAUUUAUAUUAGAUUCCCAUAAUAUACUUGCUGCAUAAAUGCCUUUGAUUUCCAUAAGUUCAUAUUUAAAGUUGGAAUUUAUAAAUGUUUCAAUGAGUAUAUGCUGCCACAGUUUAUAGGAUCUUAGAGAAAUGUAAUUUUCACUAACACAAAUUACUCUUCUUGCGGCUUAAUUUGACUUUUAACACUAAGUAAGCUGCCACUAAAUUUAUUUCUUUUUACAAAAUAUUUAGAAAAAAAUAUUAAAUUAUAUUUAGAAAAAUUAUUUAAUAAUAAUUAUUUAAAUUAUAUUUUAUAGUAUUAUAUUAUGAUUUUAGUAAAUUCAUAUAAGAAUAUUUAAUAUUAAGAAUUUUAUUAAAUCAUAUAUUUUAAUUAAAAUAUAUUUAAUAAUAAUUAUUUCAAAUUAUAUUUUAUAGUAUCAUAUAUUAUAAUUUUAGUAAAUUCAUAUAAGAAUAUUGAUUAUUAAGAAUUUUAUUAAAUCAUAUAUUUUAAUUAAAAUAUAUUUAAUAAUAAUUAUGUUAAUUUAUAUUUUACAGUAUCAUAUAUUAUGAUUUGAGUAAAUUAAUAUAAGAAUAUUAAUUAUAAGAAUUUUAUUAAAUUAUAUAGUUUAAUUAAAUAUAUUUAAUAAUAAUUAUGUUAAUUAUAUUUUACAGUAUCACAUAUUAUGAUUUCAGUAAAUUAAUAUAAGAAUAUUAAUUAUUAAGAAUUUUAUUAAAUAUAUAUUUAAUUAAAAUAUAUUUAAUAAUAAUUAUGUUAAUUUAUAUUUUACAGUAUCAUAUUAUGAUUUCAGUAAAUUAAUAUAAGAAUAUUAAUUAUUAAGAAUUUUAUUAAAUUAUAUAGUUUAAUUAAAAUAUAUUAAUAAUAAUUAUGUUAAUUUAUAUUUUACAGUAUCAUAUAUUAUGAUUUCAGUAAAUUAUAAGAAUAUUAAUUAUUAAGAAUUUUAUUAAAUUAUAUUUUUAAUUAAAAUAUAUUUUAAUAAUUAUGUUAAUUUAUAUUUUACAGUAUCAUAUAUUAUGAUUUCAGUAAAUUAAUAUAAGAAUAUUAAUUAUUAAGAAUUUUAUUAAUUAUUUUAAUAAUAUAUUAAUAAUAAUUAUGUUUAAUAUGAUUAAAUUAUUAUUAUUGAUAAAAUCUUGUUAUAUUUAAAUAACACAAAAAUCAUUUACCAAAACAAAUUUAUGUUAAGGGUAUUCUAGUCAUUUUAGUUUUUUCUAUUAUGCUAUUACACCUCUAUUCCAUUCAACCAAACACAAGAUUACUAUUACGCCUCUAUUCCAUUACAUUCAACCAAACAGUGGAUUAGCUAUUACACCUCUAAUCCAAUACACCCUAAAUCCCAAUACACCUCUAAUCCAAUACACCUCUAAUCCAAUACAGCGAACCAAACGCACCCUUACUCUAUUUUUACUAAUUUCAUACUUAAUUUAUUAGACGGUGUGUAGGAUUAAUACGCAAAACUAUUACUUGACGAGCUCGAUUUAUGAAAAAAAUUCUUUUAAUUUUAAUAUAUAUAUUAUUAAAACAAUAAUAAUUAAAGUGAAUAUAUUUGAUUAUUUACUAGUUAAUUUAUAAAUAACUAGAAAAAAUAAGUAUUUGUUUAAAAAAUACUUUAUGUUUUUAAAUUUUAUCACAUAAAAAAAUAUUAGUAUUCCUUGAAAAACAAUUUUUUGCUAUUACUCACUUUAAAAUUUGAAUAAGAUAUCAUAAAAUUUUAAAAUUAGAAAUAUAUACGUAUUGUAGCCAUUGGUGUCAAAUUGAACUUGCUUGAACCAAUCAUCUUCUCUUGGGUUGCUUUCUGGUUUGGACUUAUUUUUUACACUGGUGGAGUUUGAGUUGUUGCUCAAUGAAUUUCUCUUUUCUUGUAAUUUUACUAGUCCCCAGUUCAUAUUCCUGUAAUUUCUCCCAUUCUUUUAUUAUUAAUAUAUUUAUUUUAAUUAAUUUAAUGAUUAACUAUGGUUAGGAUAUAAUAAUCACAUUUGAUUUCUACGUGUUAUUUUUAAUAUUUUAUGACAAAUUUUCAUUCUAUUAUUAAUAUAUCAUUACUUAUUUAAUUUAACUUAAAUAAAAAAAAUACUUAGAAUGGUUACGUUGGUAUAAUAUAAGUGUGAUGUUUUUGUUUUCUCAACCUUUCAAUUUUACUCUUGAAUAUAUUUUUUAUGUUUAAAUUAUAUAGAUAAUUGAUUUAUCAUAUUUUUAUAAAAAAUUUACCAUAUAGGAUGGUUAUCGGGUUUUGAGGUUGUGGUGUCAUUUUCUUAAGUACGAUCCGGACGAGCGGGUCAUGCCAUACUUACGGUUGGCCAGAUUUGGGGAUGUCGCAUUGAUCCGGAGGUUUGACUUGAGGCAAAACUUACUAUCCGCCUUGGUUGAGCGGUGGUGUACGGAGACCCACACCUUCAUUAUGCCGUGUGGGGAGUGCACUAUCACAUUAGAAGACGUCGCUAUGCAACUUGGGUUACGAGUUGCAACUAUUAAUUUUAAAUAUAAUUUUAACACUAAGUAAUACAAACUUUAUUUCUAAAAGAUCAUAAUAUAAACAAAUCUCAAUUACAACAUUUAAUUUCUUUCAGACCGUGAAGAUUGGUCAGUGUAGACGUUUCCAUGGGGACAUUUGCUCCGAUUGUGGCCAACUGUUCUACAUAUGGUGCCACGUUUUGGAUCGACUUGUUAUCUUACAUCCAUGUCGUUUCAAAUCCUCGUUAUUGUUGGUCUACCUUUGACUCUCCUACGUAGUGACCGAUCAGGCAACAUCUCGAAUGCAGGCGAUUGCACUUCCCAUGUUGAUAUAUCCCUUAAUACAGGGAACUCGUUACCCCAAAUACGCAACGUACGUUCAAGUGUGUAUACAUCAUUGAUAUAUUGUUCGGCAUUCAAACUAUAGGUAGCACAAGCUGCAACUACAUAAGCACACGGGUACCAUAGUGCUUGGAACAUCUCGCACUCACACCGCCUGUUUCGGAGAUCAACUCCAUAAGACCGUGGCUGGAUCCCUGACCGACGAUUGAUAUACUCUGUCACUCGAAAAGUUUCCAAAUUUUGAGAAUAUAAUUCUACAUUCAUCAACCUAGCCCUUUGAGUGUUAUCUUUCAUGGCAUCUCUGAUUUUUUCGACGUACACGUGUCCUGCCUCUAACUGUUUUGCUUGUUUCAACCUCAUUUUUGGCAUUAAGGUUGCUAACCUGUAAAAUGUAGCUGAAAAAACAGCUGAAAUUGGCAAGUGACGUGUACGCCUUAAGACAGAGUUAACGGCCUCAACAAGGUUAGUUGUCAUAUGGCCAUAACGGUACCCCUCGUCAAAACAUUGAGCCCAUUACCACGGCUCCAUGCUUCUCAACCACUGUGUAAGAGAAGGUUUGCAGCCCACCAUAUCAAUUUCUAACCUCGCCAGCUUAUGUCUAAAUCAGUGUGGUUCCAGCUCGUACCCUAUGUAUAUAUUCCAAUAAAAUGCGUUAAAAUUAGGAAAUAGACUAGAAAUAAUUACAAAUACGAAUUUAAAUACGAUAUUUUUACCCAUGUUGACAAUUCGUUUGCGCCAGUCUUUGUUCUUAUACUCAUUGUGGAAGUUCACAGCAAUGUGGCGAAUACAAUAGACAAACAUCCACGGAACCUCCGAUUGCUGAAUUGCAGCAACAAGACCCUUUGAUCUGUCAGAUAUAAUACAAAUGUUGUCUUGCCUGACAACAUGUCUCCGUAAGUUUCGAAUGAAAUAUGCUCAUGAUUCAGAGUUCUCCGACUCUAUGAUGGCAAAAGCGAUUGGUAGUACAUUUCCAUUACCGUCUUGUGCAACCGUAAUCUGAAGUAUCUGCGUGUAUUUUUCAUAAAGCCAUGUUCCAUCAACUUGCACUACCGGUUUGCAGUGGGAGAAGACCCUAACACAUGGAUCGAAAGUCCAGAAUAGUCGACGAAACACUCUUUUUCCCAGUUCCAAUUCUCCAUUAGGGCUUCUAUAAGGCAACGUUUGCAAGUCCAUGACAGUUCCUGGGACAUACUCUACCAUUGAUGAAACCCAACUCUAAAGUUCAUUGUAUGACUUAUCCCAGUCGCCGUAAAAUUGUUGUAUGGCCAUUUGUUUCGCCCACCACGCUUUCCUGUAUGACACUUUGUACUGAAAUCGAGCUUGCAUGUCUGCAAUCAAUGUCGACACAGGAAUGAUUGGGCUAUCUUUCACCAGUGGCAUGAUGCAGUUGCAAAUACUUUUGGCAUCCAAUUUUCGGUGGUCUUGAGACAUGCGUGCGACAGUACAUGUAUGACGCCCUUCUAAUUUUCGUAUUUGCCACUGUUGAGUCCUCUGUAUAAAUGCAGCACGAACUCGCCAACCACACCCAUCGUCGGCUCUCCAACAUUCCCCAACGUAUAAUGUCAGUGUAGAUUUGGCAACCUUGUAAUUAAUCGACAACUUCAUGCUGUAUUGUUUGAUGGCAAACACACAAUCCGCCUUCUUCUCGAACUGUUGCCCAACGAACAACUCGUCGAACUGUGAAUUUGACGCCAAUCUAUGAGCAGGUACUAUAUCAGUGUACUCAGGGAACUCGGAUGCAUGCACUGCAUCUAGAUCUACAUUCAACAUGUUGCCCCCAGGUUCAUUUCGUAAAAUAAUACCAUGACUCGGGUUACAGAAUGAAGGGUCGUGAACAUCUUCAACCUCCUCUGGGCCUUCAUCAUCGAUAUCGUCCGGAACCUCAUCAACAUCGGGGUCACUAAAAUCUUCAACAUCUUGAUCAAAAUCUUCACCAUUAUUGGUCAUUUCUCUGACAUUUGUCUCAGUGCUUAUUAUCACCUCCGGAUGUAUUUGUAGACGGGGACCGAGGGUUGGGUUGUUGUACGAACUCCCACCAUAAUUAGGAAUUUUGGGUAUCUGCGACGUUCCACCGCAUUCUAAUUAGCCUGUCCAUCCAACAUUAAGAUCAAAAUCAAAUUCGCGAUGUUGACUUAUUGGGCUAACAUUCUCAACAGGCUCUAAGUCUGCUAACUCAGCAUAUAAUUCAACUGGUUGGGGGUUCACACUUCCAGUGGACCAUCAUAUUUCCAUCAUAGUGCUCAAGUCAUCAUCAUCUAACAGUUGCAUCGCACAAAAUUUGAACGGAUCUGUAGAGAUUGGAAACUUGUAAAAUAAUUUGGACAUCGUCCUUCCACAACGGAUAACCAUUUUCGCACUGAUCUUCCUUUUCAUUUCUGCUAGCUUCACAUUUUUUUUUGAAUCGCAAACCUACUCUUUGCUGGCCUUGAAAUACACAGCCAAUAUCACCUUCUACAAUUUCACCAUAAAAAAACAACAUACACCAAAAACACCUCAUUAUUCAUUUUUAACAAAUUUUUUGAACUUUUCCACUUAACAUAACAACUACACCACUCUAUAUAUAGAAGAGAACCAAGAGGUGGAGCCAUAAAGAAUGAUUCCACCAAAAUACUGUGAUUUUUUAGAGUAUAGGGGGCCCCGUAGCAAUUUUGCCAUUUCCUGGUGGAGCCAAAUAAUUUGGCGCCACCAGUUUUCAAGUCUGACAGCCAACUUAUUUGUUUCAGCCUUUUUUUUUUAAGUUUUGACUUUCUUUUUUUCUUUUUUAAGUCCUAAUUUAUUUUAUUUAUUUCGAAAAACUUGAAAUGUAUUUUUUUAAAAUGUUUUAUAAUAUAUUUUUUAUAAAUAUUAAAAAUAUAUUUUCAAAUUAUUUUUUAAAUAUUAAAUAUAUUUUUAAUAUUAUAAAACAUUUAAAAUGAUUUAAAAUGAUUUAAAAUAUUUUUUAAUAUUUUAAAUGAUUUUAAAUAUUUUUUAAAUUUUACUUAGAAUUUUGAAAUUUAUAAUUUUUAUUUAUUUUUAAAAAUAUUUAACAUUUUUUAAAUUUUUUAUACAAAUUUUAUUUAAAAAUUUAAAUGUUUAAAUGUUUUAUAUUAUUAAAAAAUAAAAACAAAUAAUAAAUUUGAAAGAUCAUAUCUUUAAAUUAUUUUAGUAUUUUGUAUUAUUAAAAAUAUGGUUAAUAUUUAAAAAAUAAUAUUUAUAAUUUUCAAAAAUUAAUUUGAGAAAUAUACAUUUAAAAUUUAAAAAAAAUCUAAAACUGAUAUUUAAAAUUUUAACAAAUAUAUAUUAUAGAACAUUUCAAAUAUACAUUACAAACUUUUAAAAAUUAAUAAUAAGAAAUAAAUAAAUUAAAUAAACUAAAAUAAAAUAACAAAAAAAUUAUAAAAUCUUAAUUUAAAAAUUCUAUGUAAAAUUAAUAAUAUAUUAAACAUACAUUUCAAAUAUUAUAAAACUAAUAAACAAAAUACAAUAAGAAAAUAAUAUAAAACUUAAAAAAAGAAAAAAAUUAAAGAAAAAGACAAAAUCUAUGAAAAACUAAUCUAAAAUUUAAUUUGAAAUGUAUAAUAAAAAUAAAUAAAAUAGAUAAACAAAAUAAAAUAAGAAAAAAAUUAGACUUAAAAAAAUAAAAAAAAUACAUUUUUAAAAUUUAUAAAUAAUUAAUUUCACAAAUAUAUAUAAAGUUAAAAUAUAUUUUUAAAAAUAAUAAUUAAAAAUUUUUAAAAUUUUUAAAAAUAUUAUAAAACAUUUUAAAUAAAUAUUAUAAAUUUUUUAAAAUUAAUAAUAUACAUUAAAUAAGUAAAAUAAAUUAAGAAAAUAAUAUAAAUUUUAAAAAAGAAAAAAAUCUAAGAAAGAGACAAAAUAUAAGAAAAAAAUAAAAAAGUUAAAAAAGUAAAAAAGUAAAAAAAAAUAUAAGAACAUCACAAAUUAGAAAAGUGGUGACCCUAUUUAGAAUGGCUCCACCCAAAAAUGGAAAUUUUUUUUAAGUCUUCCAUUUUUUCAGAUUUUUUAAUAUUUUCCUAGUAUUUUAUAUUGGUGGCGCCAUUCAACAUAGCUCCACCAAAAAAUAAUUUUUUAAUACCCUUGACUGACAUGGCAAAGUGAUGGCGCCAUAUCAUAUAGCUCCACCACUUUUUACUAUAGAAAAUGAGUUAUUUUUGUACAUAAUUAAAAAGAUAGAUUAUUUUAAUAAUUAAUUUAUUUUUUAAGGUUACUUUUAUAAAAAAACCAAGGAAGAUCAUAUCUCGUUCUGACCUUAAAUCGAUAAAGUCAUCAUGAGAUAGAAGCCUACUUAAGCCCUUCUCCAUGUAUACAUUCCUCCUCCACGAAAAACGCCAAACAAGCA